CAGUGUGAGGAGUUCGGGCAUCUAGCCAGAGAUUGCUCUCAACUAAAAAAUUGGACGGAGGUUGCUGUAGCGAUAGUCGGCAGCGAUUCAGAUGGAGAUGUUUUGGAGAUAUCUGAUGAUAUAUCUACUUCUUCCCAACAGUGGAUAUUAAGUUCUGCAUGCACCCAUCAUGUAUGUUGCAGAGAGGAGCAGUUUGACUCCCUGAAGAACAGUGAGGGCACUGUAAAUCUGCCGGA
rnacentral:lncRNA from 1 species